rfam:Ictidomys tridecemlineatus contig019274, whole genome shotgun sequence.
UGGGGUGUGGCUCAGCGAUAGAGCACUCACCUAGCAUGUGCGAGGCCCUGGAUUCGAUUCUCAGCACCACAU